rnacentral:rRNA from 1 species
CACGAAGUUAGCCGGGGCUUCUUCUCACGCUACCGUCAUCAUCGUCGCGUGCGAAAGAGCUUUACAACCCGAAGGCCUUCAUCACUCACGCGGCAUUGCUGGAUCAGGCUUGCGCCCAUUGUCCAAUAUUCCCCACUGCUGCCUCCCGUAGGAGUCUGGGCCGUGUCUCAGUCCCAGUGUGGCUGAUCAUCCUCUCGGACCAGCUAAGGAUCGUUGCCUUGGUAGGCCGUUACCCCACCAACAAGCUAAUCCUACGCGGGCCCAUCCCAUGGCGAUAAAUCUUUGUCCCUCAAGACACAUACGGUAUUAGCUCCAGUUUCCCGGAGUUAUUCCGUACCACAGGGCAGGUUCCCACGCGUUACUCACCCGUGCGCCACUAGGGCCGAAGCCCUCGUUCGACUUGCAUGUGUUAGGCAUGCCGCCAGCGUUCGUUCUGAGCCAGGAUCAAACUCU